CAGACAUUCGUCGCACGCCGAAGCGUUCGGUCGCGUUUUCAGUGAACUCCACAAAAUCAGAGAACAAAAAAACAUAAGAAAAACAAAAACAAAGUAAACUGAAAAGUCUUUCGCCUCACAUGCACAGACUCCGAGAGUUCGAGUGUUUCGCGUGUGUGAGUGUGCGUAUGUCUCGUGUGUGACUAACUUAGUAGAUGUUGCUUAGACAGAGACAGUACUUAAAUACUCAGUGCUGAUGAGUUCCCAGGUGUAAAUCAACCCACAGACCAAGCACUGUACACAGUUACUCAAAUAUAUAUAUAACACAUAUAUCAAGUGAGAUCCGCGGGGAGUUCGAGCUCUGUGUUCGACGUCCAUUAGGCAAUCGUAACGGUAAUUUGUUGUAUCUUAAACUGGAUCCCGUUUCCAGUACAAAAUCUGUAAUUGAAAUUGAUUCAACCAACGGCAAAGCCAAACUCGAUUGCCAUUUAAAAGUCAAAAACUUUCGCACAGUCGGACAUUGGCGGAAUUUUAAUCGAGCUGCUAACAGUGAAGCGGACGGAAUGCAGCUGCUGCAGGUGCAACGGGCCGAAGUCGCAGCGGCGGUCUAAUUGAGGCCAGCCGGAUCAGGAGCAGGACACGCUCAAAUGGCGUCAUUUGUAUGCGAAGCCACAACAAUUGAGAGAGCCACAAAAGUUGCUAACGAAACAAACUCAACAAAGGAAAUGCAGCGCAGCAGCUAAAGCCAACCAAAUAAAAAACAAAAAAAAACAACA